rnacentral:rRNA from 1 species
GCCUACGGCCAUAGCACCCUGAAAGCGCCCGAUCUCGUCUGAUCUCGGAAGCUAAGCAGGGACGGGCCUGGUUAGUACCUGGAUGGGAGACCGCCUCGGAAUACCAGGUGUUGUAGGCU